UGGGGAAUUUUGGACAAUGGGGGAAACCCUGAUCCAGCCAUCCCGCGUGUGCGAUGAAGGCCUUCGGGUUGUAAAGCACUUUUGGCAGGAAAGAAACGUCAUGGGUUAAUACCCCGUGAAACUGACGGUACCUGCAGAAUAAGCACCGGCUAACUACGUGCCAGCAGCCGCGGUAAUACGUAGGGUGCAAGCGUUAAUCGGAAUUACUGGGCGUAAAGCGUGCGCAGGCGGUUCGGAAAGAAAGAUGUGAAAUCCCAGAGCUCAACUUUGGAACUGCAUUUUUAACUACCGGGCUAGAGUGUGUCAGAGGGGGGUGGAAUUCCGCGUGUAGCAGUGAAAUGCGUAGAUAUGCGGAGGAACACCGAUGGUGAAGGCAGCCUCCUGGGAUAACACUGACGCUCAUGCACGAAAGCGUGGGGAGCAAACAGG
rnacentral:rRNA from 1 species